rnacentral:tRNA from 1 species
AUAUUAUUAGUAUAAUUAGUAUAUAAGUCUUCCAAACUUAAGGCCCAAAUAAUUUUGGAUAAUAUA